rnacentral:rRNA from 1 species
GAUGAACGCUAGCGGCAGGCUUAAUACAUGCAAGUCGAGGGACAGCACAGGUAGCAAUACUGGGUGGUAACCGGCAAACGGGUGCGGAACACGUACACAACCUUCCUUUAAGUGGGGGAUAGCCCAGAGAAAUUUGGAUUAAUACCCCGUAAUAUAGUUGAAUGGCAUCAUUUGAUUAUUAUAGCUACGGCGCUUAAUGAUGGGUGAGCGGCUGAUUAGAUAGUUGGCGGGGUAACGGCCCACCAAGUCUACGAUCAGUAGCUGAUGUGAGAGCAUGAUCAGCCACGCGGGCACUGGGACACGGGCCCGACUCCUACGGGAGGCAGCAGUAAGGAAUAUUGGUCAAUGGACGCAAGUCUGAACCAGCCAUGCCGCGUGAAGGAUUAAGGUCCUCUGGAUUGUAAACUUCUUUUAUUUGGGACGAAAAAGGGCCUUUCUAGGUCAACUGACGGUACCAGAUGAAUAAGCACCGGCUAACUCCGUGCCAGCCGCCGCAGUAAGAC